rnacentral:lncRNA from 1 species
UUUUUCAUCUCAUUUCAUCUCAAUUCAUCUCAUCAUUUCAUCUCCUCAUCUCAUCAUUUCCUCCUUUCAUUACAACAUUUCAUCUCAAUUCAUCUCAUCAUUUCAUCUCCUCAUCUCAUCAUUUCCUCCUUUCAUUACAACAUUUCAUCUCAUUUCUUCUCAUCUCAUUUCAAUUUCAUUAUUUCAUCUCAUUUCAUUAUUUCACCUAAUUUCAUUAUUUCAUCUCAUCUCAUCUCAGUUCAUCUGAUCUCAUUUCAUCUCAGCAUUUCAUC